AUGAUCACUGAGGAUUUUCAGUUAAACUACUUUGCCUUCUGUGGAGUGAGACGCUCUGGAGCAGCGGCAGCUGGAGGCGGCACACGGGAGGCUUCGGCAAUUCUGCGAGCAAGGGUCCCACGAAAACCCGGGAGAGGAAGCUGCAGGGGAGACGGCGUCCUCACCAUGACUCCUGCCAUCAAAGGUCCUUUUGCUCCUCUUGGUGGUGGCACUGUCACCAGGCACGAAUCGAGGCCUCGAGAUUUCACCCGGUCACCCCCCAGGUUGUGUAGGCGGAGGCCUAGGGCCACGGCCUUGCUUCCAAUAUGAUGCUGUUGCACCCUGACGUCUCCUCGAAAUCUGUCACCAACGUGGAACCUUCCUUCUCCCUCCCCGCAGGAGGACGGCAUCUCCAGAGACGCCCAGAGCCCUGCCCCCAGCUGCCCUCUGUGGUCACCCCGGCGUCACCCAAGUAAGAAGGUGCUUUUGUGCUUUUAGGAGUCCUGGGUGACCGCGCAGGAUGGGGAAUCACGGCCCUCCAACCAAUCUGGCCCCCGUGCCUGUUUUUGUAAAUAAACUUUUAUUGUAACAAGGCUGUGCCUGUUCA
rnacentral:lncRNA from 12 species